CCUACGGGAGGCAGCAGUGGGGAAUAUUGCACAAUGGGCGCAAGCCUGAUGCAGCCAUGCCGCGUGUGUGAAGAAGGCCUUCGGGUUGUAAAGCACUUUCAGCGGGGAGGAAGGCGAUAAGGUUAAUAACCUUGUUGAUUGACGUUACCCGAAGAAGAAGCACCGGCUAACUACGUGCCAGCAGCCGCGGUAAU
rnacentral:rRNA from 1 species